AUUUCUACAAAUCAGAAUGAUCUGAAAUUUGGAGCGUGUGUUCGUCAAAAAUAAGAGAAUCUGAUAAAAAUAUAAAAAAAUAAUAAUUCAUAAAAUAUAAAUUGACCAAAAUACCCCUGAAAAUUUACGGGGGCAUUUUGGUCUAUUAAUAUUUUGUGAAAUAUUUUUUUCAUAUUUUUAUUAGGUGCGUCUCACUAAGAUGUACACACACUCCAAAUUUUAGAUCAUUCCGAUUUAUAGAAAA
rnacentral:pre_miRNA from 1 species